UCCUGAUUCCUGAUUCCUGAUUUUGCAGUUAUUUGUUCAUAAAGCAAAGGCCUGGCAGUAUUAUCAGGAGACAUCAUCAGGGAACCAUGACUUGUCAAUUAAACAUUUUUUAUCAAACCAUUCUGUAUUCAAACCUGUGUGGAGAUACGUCACUGGACCACGUUGGUGGACCAGACUGACAAACAUCGCCAUCCCCAGUUAAGUUUACUGAGAAACUCUCUCCAAUAGUCAUUCCGAAGAGAACCAGCACUCGGAUCCCUACUACUGUCACCAAGCUGGAACCUACCAGCCCACAAGCACAAGUUAUCCCUGGAAAACCGUUUGAAGCGAGUUCUCUCUCUGGUGUUUUCAUCGCGCUGCCCGUGCUGCUCACGCUGACAAUCGUCAUUACUAGUGUCAUAGUUUGUAAAUACAAAUGUUUCAAAGUGCAAGGAGCUGGAGCCGACAUGAACAGAAAUAAAACACAAGCAGACGAAGUUGUGGAAACGAUCGAAGAAAAUGUUUAUAGACGCAAAGACUCAGCUUCCCCAAGGCAGCCUCCCCCCGGCCAGCUCUAUGAUGACGCAGGAGAAAACGAACAAGAGUCUGUGUACCAAAACUACGCAUCAACAGAGGAUAUCUACUGCAAUCAAAAUUACAUUAGAGCCUUACAAGAUGAACACCGUCUGUAGGCAAUCUUACAUUUUGGGGUAAACAUUUAUCCCAAUGAUUCCAUCUGUGAUCUGACCAACACAUCUUUGGUUUUUAAAUUUUAUUUUACACUUGAUUGCUCAUUCUUUUAUACCACAAACUGUUCAACUUACUUGCGAUGCUUUUAAGAUAUUGUGGAUCAGCUCAGUACCCUUCAUGUAAGUUGUCACCUUUUGGGUUCACGUCUUGUUUUAUUUUGUAGUUUCAUGCCUCUGGUGCUCCUGGGUUAACUUCACUUCCUGCCUUGUCCUGUCAUCCCUUGUGAUUGUCUGCCGUGUCCAUGAUUGUUUCCACCUGUGUCAAUCACCUGCACCUUCCCAGUGUAUUUAAGCCAUGAAAAUCUUGAAUGUUUACUCUGAACCUCGUCCCUGUGUCGUGUAGGUCCCUGUGCCCCGUCUACAUUUUUCCGAGUCUUUGUUUUUUUCCCCCAUGAUGUUUGGGUUUUUGGAUUUAAUAAAGUAGUUUUCGUUUGAAACUCUG